rnacentral:rRNA from 1 species
UACGAGUGCCCCAAGCGUUAUCCGGAAUUAUUGGGCGUAAAGGGUGUGUAGGUGGUUUUGUUAGUCUUCUGUUAAAGCUCCGGGCAUAGCCCGGAAGAUGCAGAGGAAACGGCAAGACUAGAGGAUGUGAGAGGUUUGUGGAACUCAUGGUGUAGGGGUGAAAUCCGUUGAUAUCAUGGGGAACACCAAAAGCGAAGGCAGCAAACUGGCGCAUUCCUGACACUGAAACACGAAAGCGUGGGUAGCGAAUGGG